UACGUAGGGUGCAAGCGUUAAUCGGAAUUACUGGGCGUAAAGCGUGCGCAGGCGGUUUGUCGCGUCGGGAGUGAAAUCCACUGGCUUAACUGGUGGCUUGCUUUCGAUACGGGCAGACUGGAGGUAUGCAGGGGAGAACGGAAUUCCUGGUGUAGCGGUGAAAUGCGCAGAUAUCAGGAGGAACACCGGUGGCAAGGCGGUCUCCUGGC
rnacentral:rRNA from 1 species